AUUGAACGCUGGCGGCAUGCCUAACACAUGCAAGUCGAACGGUAACGCGGAGAGCUUGCUCUCUGGCGACGAGUGGCGGACGGGUGAGUAAUACUUAGGAAUCUGCCCAGUAGUGGGGGACAACUCGGGGAAACUCGAGCUAAUACCGCAUACGCCCUACGGGGGAAAGCGGGGGAUCUUCGGACCUCGCGCUAUUGGAUGAGCCUAAGUCGGAUUAGCUUGUAGGUAGGGUAACGGCCUACCUAGGCGACGAUCCGUAGCUGGUCUGAGAGGACGAUCAGCCACACUGGGACUGAGACACGGCCCAGACUCCUACGGGAGGCAGCAGUGGGGAAUAUUGGACAAUGGGCGCAAGCCUGAUCCAGCAAUGCCGCGUGUGUGAAGAAGGCCUGCGGGUUGUAAAGCACUUUCAGUAGAGAAGAAAAGCUUACGGUUAAUAGCUGUGAGUCUUGACGUAACCUACAGAAGAAGCACCGGCUAACUCCG
rnacentral:rRNA from 1 species